GUCGUAGACCCCAUGGCUGAAGCCAGGGGCUUGGAGCCCGUCUAUGACGAGGCCAAGCGAUGGAGCCCAUGGACAAGGCGCUGAUGUCGCUACGUUGCGAACAGGUUCAAGACCCACUCCGGGGUGCUUCCCCAGCCCCGGACCCUGGC
rnacentral:sRNA from 24 species